GAUGAACGCUGGCGGCGUGCCUAAUACAUGCAAGUCGAGCGAACAGACGAGGAGCUUGCUCCUCUGACGUUAGCGGCGGACGGGUGAGUAACACGUGGAUAACCUACCUAUAAGACUGGGAUAACUUCGGGAAACCGGAGCUAAUACCGGAUAAUAUAUUGAACCGCAUGGUUCAAUAGUGAAAGACGGUUUUGCUGUCACUUAUAGAUGGAUCCGCGCCGCAGUAGCUAGUUGGUAAGGUAACGGCUUACCAAGGCGACGAUGCGUAGCCGACCUGAGAGGGUGAUCGGCCACACUGGAACUGAGACACGGUCCAGACUCCUACGGGAGGCAGCAGUAGGGAAUCUUCCGCAAUGGGCGAAAGCCUGACGGAGCAACGCCGCGUGAGUGAUGAAGGUCUUCGGAUAGUAAAACUCUGUUAUUAGGGAAGAACAAAUGUGUAAGUAACUAUGCACGUCUUGACGGUACCUAAUCAGAAAGCCACGGCUAACUACGUG
rnacentral:rRNA from 1 species